rnacentral:rRNA from 1 species
UCUUGGCCUGAAAUCAGAUGGGACUACCCG